AGAGUUUGAUCAUGGCUCAGAACUAACGCUGGCGGCGCGUCUUAAGCAUGCAAGUCGAACGGGAACCCGCUCUUCGGAGUGGGGGAGAGUGGCGAACGGGUGAGUAACACGUAGGUGAUCUGUCCCUGGGUGGGGAAUAGCCCAUGGAAACAUGGGGUAAUACCGCAUAAGGUCUGGAGCCUGUGGGCUUUUGAUGAAAGGAGCAAUUGUUCCGCCUGGGGGUGAGCCUGCGGCCCAUUAGCUAGUUGGUGGGGUAAGAGCCCACCAAGGCGACGAUGGGUAGCCGGCCUGAGAGGGUGAACGGUCACACUGGAACUGAGACACGGUCCAGACUCCUACGGGAGGCAGCAGCUAAGAAUCUUCCGCAAUGGGCGAAAGCCUGACGGAGCGACGCCGCGUGGACGAAGAAGGCCGUGAGGUUGUAAAGUCCUUUUCUUGGCGAAGAAUAAGGCAAGGAGUGGAACGCCUUGCUGAUGACGUUAGUCAAGGAAUAAGCCCCGGCCAAUUACGUGCCAGCAGCCGCGGUAACACGUAUGGGGCAAGCGUUGUUCGGAAUCACUGGGCGUAAAGGGCGUGUAGGCGGUUUUGCAAGCCUGGCGUGAAAGGCUUCGGCUCAACCGGAGGAUGGCGCUGGGAACUGUGAGACUUGAGUUCUGGAGGGGGAGCUGGAAUUCCUGGUGUAGGGGUGAAAUCUGUAGAGAUCAGGAAGAACACCGGUGGCGAAGGCGAGCUCCUGGACAGAAACUGACGCUGAGGCGCGAAAGCGUGGGGAGCGAACAGGAUUAGAUACCCUAGUAGUCC
rnacentral:rRNA from 1 species